rnacentral:rRNA from 1 species
UACGUAGGGUGCAAGCGUUGUCCGGAAUUAUUGGGCGUAAAGAGCUCGUAGGCGGUCUGUCGCGUCUGCUGUGAAAACUCAGGGCUUAACCCUGAGCUUGCAGUGGGUACGGGCAGACUAGAGUGCGGUAGGGGAGACUGGAAUUCCUGGUGUAGCGGUGAAAUGCGCAGAUAUCAGGAGGAACACCAGUGGCGAAGGCGACUACCCGGCCUGUUCUUGACGCUGAGGCGCGAAAGCUAGGGGAGCAAACGGG